AGUCCCUGGCUAUUUAUAUCUCACAAAUAAGGCGAGCAGACAGCUAAUAUAGCCACGGGCCAGCAGAAACAGAGCAGCGCAGUUUAUUAACAAGCCUAGGUGGACGUGGCACUUGAUACAUCUUUGUGUGAAAGUAUUUUUAUCAUUUUCAUGUUCAAAAGGUCACAGAAGCCUUAAAUAGGAAAUUAAAUGGAAGUAGACCUUGCUGAAGAUAGCAGGAUCCCUCAGGCACUCGGAGGCUGUCAGCACCUUAAACAACAGUCGUGGUGAGAAGAAGUCGACUGUAACCACCAGGGACUCCAGUCUACACGGGGGAAAACAGCAGAGCCAUCUUUGCAAUAGCUGGGAAAGAUACUGAUCACUUCAGUCCAAGUUCACAUUCUCACAGCCAGCAGUGGAAGUUUGGGCAGAGCCUCACAGAACCAGGAGUCAGAUUCCUACUAAUCCAUGCUGCUUCCGGACUGCAUGAAGGGGAAGAAAGAGACAUUUCAAACAUGCAACAUUAAAUGGCCAAUUGAAGAAGCUGUCAUUGUCCUCCCCUUUCCCCGCCUGAGGUGAGCUCCCAUCAGCAGCAAGGGAAGAAACCCCAAGGAGCGCAAGAGGGGGCUCCCCCCUACCCGUCCCCAAACGCAAGAGGGGGCUCCCCCCUACCCGUCCCCACCACAAAAAGCACUAAAGAACCACUGGAGCAGGAGCUCCAUCACUCACCUACUUGAUCCUACACCUCAUGAAACCACUGCAAUCUCCAGGCCAGUCCUCAACAAAAUCAACACUUCUCUGCAGCCUCCAACAACAUCAGAAACACACAGCACACCACAUCCAGACUCAAUUAGACCAAUAACAGAGAAGCACACUUCCUGAACUCUCCACCUAACCCACGCCACUCACCAUGAAAUCAUUCAAGUCCAUAAACACCAUCACCAAUUAGACUCACGCAAUUCAAAAACUUGCCAAGAGAUUCCACUCACUUUCACUUCUCUACACCAAGCAGAUAAUUCUCUCAUCCAUUCCUCACAAGAUGCUCCAGCUCACUCAGCUCUGUUGCCAUCUGCUGGACUCUGCAUACAACUCUUAUCUUUACCUGAAAAAAGAAAAUCUAAGCACAAUAGUCCAGACAACUUCACCAAAGCAAAAUCCCAUUGCUCCCAUUUCACAGGGCACACUGCUGGCUCCACACUGACCACUAAGCCCUUAUUCUCCAGUCUCCCUUCCAGAGGACUGGCCCUUAACUCACACCACUACAUGCUGUUACUCCUCCCUACUUGCCCAACCCCAUACCUGCUCUCUUCGAAUUUCACCCUGUCCUGCCAAAUAGAAGCGCAGCCUUCCUCUGUCAACCACAUCUCCUGGCUUCAUGUCAUCAGCUCUCUUCCUGAGAGUGGACUCCCUCCAUCCACAUCA